AUGUAAUACGUGCCGGUAGCGGUGGGAAUCAUUAAUAUCAAGGACUUGGACGGAUUUAUUUGGAGGAAAGCUAGAGCAGAAGGUUAUUUAAGACUGAAGUGAAAGCGCUGAGCGUAACUGAGGAAAGGCGUUGGAAGCUGGAUGACUGGAGAGAAGUGGAGGAAAGUGGAACUCCAUGUGUAGCGGUGAAAUGCGUAGAUAUAUGGAAGAACACCAGUGGCGAAGGCGGCUUUCUGGACUGUAACUGACGUUGAGGCUCGAAAGUGUGGGUAGCAAACAGGAUUAGAUACCCCAGUCGUC
rnacentral:rRNA from 1 species